UACAUGUUGCAAACCACCUUCAUCAGUAACGACAUCCUCUACGUCGGUGCUUAAUUAAAUCCCGGUAACGCUCAAAAUUAACAAACUCUUCUAGUUCUUCUUCUUCUUCUGACUUUUCUGGGGCCCGAAACCGUCUAGACCCAGCCUCUCUAAUAAAAUCAAGCAGGGCACGACCAUCAAAUCUGUCAAUUAGAACAUCCUGUUUCCCAUUCCAAGGUAUCAGGCCUUGCUGAUCCUGGGUGGCUUGGUAGAGACCAUCGUCGCGGUAGGUCCGGUAUCUACUGCCGAUGACCUGAAUAGAUUGCUGAGGAUCGCCUCUCCUCUUGGCCAAGUACACUGCUCGUCUCUGCGCUCUCUUUCUAGCCGCGUCCAUCAUGUCGUGGACCUUUCUCUCCGAUCUUCUCGCUUCGUGCCACAUAUUUUCUCACAAAUUCUCUCAACAAUGGAAACCCUA
rnacentral:misc_RNA from 1 species